ensembl:snRNA U4 U4 spliceosomal RNA
AGGUUUGCGCAGUGGCAGUAUUGUAGCCAAUGAGGUUUAUCCAAGGCACAAUUAUUGCUAAUAAUAAAAAAAAAUGCCAACAAUGCUGUCCAGCUGGAUUCCCAACAGGUACGGUCAUUUCUAAGUGGUGUGAGGCUGACCUUUUAUUUUUGCUAGGCAGAACAGUUAAAGCUUGUUGCUGC